rnacentral:rRNA from 1 species
UGGCUGGGGGUGAAAGGCCAAUCAAACCGGGAGAUAGCUGGUUCUCCCCGAAAGCUAUUUAGGUAGCGCCUCGUGAAUUCAUCUUCGGGGGUAGAGCACUGUUUCGGCUAGGGGGUCAUCCCGACUUACCAACCCGAUGCAAACUACGAAUACCGAAGAAUGUUAUCACGGGAGACACACGGCGGGUGCUAACGUCCGUCGUGAAGAGGGAAACAACCCAGACCGCCAGCUAAGGUCCCAAAGUCAUGGUUAAGUGGGAAACGAUGUGGGAAGGCACAGACAGCCAGGAUGUUGGCUUAGAAGCAGCCAUCAUUUAAAGAAAGCGUAAUAGCUCACUGGUCGAGUCGGCCUGCGCGGAAGAUGUAACGGGGCUAAACCAUGCACCGAAGCUGCGGCAGCGACACUAUGUGUUGUUGGGUAGGGGAGCGUUCUGUAAGCCUGCGAAGGUGACCUGUGAGGGUUGCUGGAGGUAUCAGAAGUGCGAAUGCUGACAUAAGUAACGAUAAAGCGGGUGAAAAGCCCGCUCGCCGGAAGACCAAGGGUUCCUGUCCAACGUUAAUCGGGGCAGGGUGAGUCGACCCCUAAGGCGAGGCCGAAAGGCGUAGUCGAUGGGAAACAGGUUAAUAUUCCUGUACUUGGUGUUACUGCGAAGGGGGGACGGAGAAGGCUAUGUUAGCCGGGCGACGGUUGUCCCGGUUUAAGCAUGUAGGCUGGUUAUCCAGGCAAAUCCGGAUAAUCAAGGCUGAGGUGUGAUGACGAGGCACUACGGUGCUGAAGUAACAAAUGCCCUGCUUCCAGGAAAAGCCUCUAAGCAUCAGGUAACAUCAAAUCGUACCCCAAACCGACACAGGUGGUCAGGUAGAGAAUACCAAGGCGCUUGAGAGAACUCGGGUGAAGGAACUAGGCAAAAUGGUGCCGUAACUUCGGGAGAAGGCACGCUGGUGUGUAGGUGAAGCCCCUGCGGGUGGAGCUGAGACCAGUCGAAGAUACCAGCUGGCUGCAACUGUUUAUUAAAAACACAGCACUGUGCAAACACGAAAGU